rnacentral:rRNA from 1 species
AGAGUUUGAUCAUGGCUCAGAUUGAACGCUGGCGGCAGGCCUAACACAUGCAAGUCGAACGGUAACAGAAAGCAGCUUGCUGCUUUGCUGACGAGUGGCGGACGGGUGAGUAAUGUCUGGGAAACUGCCUGAUGGAGGGGGAUAACUACUGGAAACGGUAGCUAAUACCGCAUAACGUCGCAAGACCAAAGAGGGGGACCUUCGGGCCUCUUGCCAUCGGAUGCCCAGAUGGGAUUAGCUAGUAGGUGGGGUAAAGGCUCACCUAGGCGACGAUCCCUAGCUGGUCUGAGAGGAUGACCAGCCACACUGGAACUGAGACACGGUCCAGACUCCUACGGGAGGCAGCAGUGGGGAAUAUUGCACAAUGGGCGCAAGCCUGAUGCAGCCAUGCCGCGUGUAUGAAGAAGGCCUUCGGGUUGUAAAGAUUUUUCAGCGGGGAGGAAGGGAGUAAAGUUAAUACCUUUGCUCAUUGACGUUACCCGCAGAAGAAGCACCGGCUAACUCCGUGCCAGCAGCCGCGGUAAUACGGAGGGUGCAGGCGUUAAUCGGAAUUACUGGGCGUAAAGCGCACGCAGGCGGUUUGUUAAGUCAGAUGUGAAAUCCCCGGGCUCAACCUGGGAACUGCAUCUGAUACUGGCAAGCUUGAGUCUCGUAGAGGGGGGUAGAAUUCCAGGUGUAGCGGUGAAAUGCGUAGAGAUCUGGAGGAAUACCGGUGGCGAAGGCGGCCCCCUGGACGAAGACUGGCGCUCAGUGCGAAAGCGUGGGGAGCAAACAGGAUUAGAUACCCUGGUAGUCCACGC